CGCGGCCCUUAUCAAAGCAGAUUCAGAUAACGCUCACGGUUGAGUGAGUCAAAGGAGCCAAAAGCAUAUUUUACAGACUCAUCAGCAACAAUUCGGGAAAUAACAUUU